rnacentral:lncRNA from 10 species
ACCAUGCCUGGCUAAUUUUUGUAUUUUUAGUAGAGACCGGGUUUCACCAUGUUGGCCAGGCCAGUCUCGAACUCCUGACCUCAGGUGAUCCACCCCCUUCAGCCUCUCAAAGUGCUGGGACUAUAGGCGUGAGCCCCCACUCCAGGCCUGGGUUUUGUUUUUUUGAGACAAGGGUCUCACUCUGUUGCCCAGGCUGGAGUGCAGUGGGGCCACCAUAGCUCACUGCAGUCUCGACCUCCCCUAGCUCAGGUGAUCCUCCUGCCUCAGCCUCCUGAGCAGCUGGAACUACAGAUGCAUGCCACCUUGUUCUGCUAAUUAUUUGUGUUUUUUGUAGCAACGGGGUUUCGCCAUGUUUCCUAGGCUGGUCUUGAACUCCUGAGCUCAAGUGAUCCACCCACCUCAGCCCCAAAAUGUGGUAGGCUUACAGACGUGAGCCGCCGCGCCCUGUGCCUGCAGGUUUUGCUGGCCAUGUGUUCCCGAUCUGGCAGAACAGAGCAGCCAGGCUCUGUGUUAGCUGAGGUUCUGUCUGUGUAGACAGGGUCUGGGUGGGGGGAGCCAGGCAAAGCCAACAGUAUCCUUACCAGCCCAAAGGAGCUGGGAGAUGCCACCACAGCCUUACUCAGUCUCUCCUCUAACUGCUGUCAGGAAACGUGCGUUAUGAAGCAGGGCCAACUGAUGGAGAUGAGAAUAGAUUCCCACUAGAUUAGAGACAGAAUAACAUAAUUGGAUGCAAAUUGUGCAAAAGAUAAAAUUGUAGGCUUGAGUAAUCUAAUCAUUCCACUACCAGGUAGAGCGUCUAAGAUUUCCUAAUUGAGCUGCCCAGAAGCGGUGUUAAUUCCCAUUUUCUAUCCCACAAAAGGCAGGGUCAGGACUCCAACAUUUGGAUGCUCAGAGCUCGGAGAGCUCCCCACGGCACAGCCAGGCCCUGGUUGGGCACAGUCCCUGACCAUCGACUGAGCUCACACUCAUUCCUUUCCAGGUCGUCUCUCCCUCCUCCCUCCUUCCCACAUCUGAAUGUCCUCGUGCCAGGCACCCUGCAGGUCUGCUUGCAGAGCGAGGCAGGCAUGGCCGCUCUCUAAGAGGCUUACAGUGUCAUAGGUGGCCUGGGUAUGACACAGAGUCAGGGCGGAGGGGGUGUGUCGAGAGGCCAAGAUGCUGGUGGGGUCAGUGGCAGCCAGAGACGUAGGCAGACAGAGCUCAGGGAUGGUGAGGCCUGGCCCACUUUCUGGGUGGAGAGGCCACGGUCUCCAUCAGAGACUAGGGUGCCAGCAGGGGAGGCAGCGUGGCCUGUGCCGUUUCCGUAGGGAAACCUGAGGCAGGGCCCAGGGCAGCACAUUUUGUGGCUACAAGCCGGAGACGGGGGAAGAAGGCAAAGGACUCGCAACUCCCACUCAGGGAGGGAUCAGCCGCCGUGUCCCGCCUCCAGGAAGGGUAGCACCGAGGCAGGGAGGGUCAUGGGGCAGAGCACAGGGUGCCCUCACUCAGAACACUGAGGCACAGACUGUGCAUGGGGGCCCCAUCCCCCCAACAAGGGAAAGUGAAGACUGGACCCUCAGAGGCCACACAGUCAGGCCAGCCUCGGGGUCGCUGUGCUGCUCCUGAGAGUAACAAGGGCGUGAAUAACUAGAUGUCUGGACACAUCUGUGUGUGUGUAUGCUGUGUGUCCACGAGUGUGUGUGCCUGUGCAUCCGUGUAGUGUGUGUGUUCGUGCAUGUGUGCCUGUGCUUCCGCGUGUGCGUCCGCAUGUAUAUGUGGGUGCGUUUGCGUGUGCGUGCAUCUGCGUGUGUAUGUGUGCGUCUGUGUGUGCAUCCGCGUGUGUGUGCAUCCCUGUGUGCGUGUGUGUGCGCCCGCAUGUACGCAUGUGUUUGCAUGUGUGUGCCCGCAAGGUUCCCAUGUCCAGACGCAGAGAGGGUGGUGAGGAGGCUACACACACAACUGCUUUCUCAGGGCCAUGGGUGUGAACUUGGGGCCACUAGCCUUCUGCGUCACUUUCACACUGUUCAGAGAAAAUCAGCCAGGUGGUGUCUGUGUAAACAAUCAGCACAGCCAGGCGGACGCGUCCUUCCAGUGAGCUCAGGGACCCGGCCCGGCUCUGAGGGAGGCCUAUGAUGCUGGGUCCGUGGAAGCCAGUUCCAGCCAGGCCAUUCAUCGUGACCUGUGAGGUCUUGGGAAUCCCACCCGACCUCCGAGAGCCUGUAAAAAGGGGGCGUCAUCCCAGUGUUGCUGGCUCGGCUGCUGACACCUGAGCAUGCCCAGUGCACACUGGGCGUGAGCCUGCUCGCACCCCCAGGCCCUCCCCUUUCACAGAAAAAUUUCCCAAGCCUGUUCAGUCUGCUCUUCCUUGGUGGGGGUCACAGGAGCUCAGGAAAUUCACCACUUGCUGGAUAAGGCACAAUUUUCACGUUAUUGAACCCAAAACAUUUUUUUUUGAGAUGUAGUCUCACUCUGUCGCCCAGGCUGGAGUGCAGCGGCACGAUAUCAGCUCACUAUAACCUCUGCCUCCGGGGUUCAAGCUAUUCUCCUGCCUCAGCAUCCCGAGUAGCUGGGAUUAUAGGCGUGCACCAACACACCCAGCUAAUUUUUGUAUGUUUAGUAGAGACAGGUUUUCGCCAUGUUGGCCAGGCUGGUUUUGAACUCCUGGCCUCAAGUGAUCCGCCUGUGUUGGCCUCCCAAAGUGCUGGGAUUACAGGCGUGAGCCACUAUGCCUGGUCCUCAGACCCUCGCUUUGAAGCAGCUGUUGUCUUGGUCUCCAGGGUGUCAGCGGUCCUCUGCCUGGAGCAGCUUCACUGCGAUCGAUCGAUCUCGUGGUCACACGGCCUCACAAGGCCUUCUUCUUACGAGUACACCAGGCCCUGGAUUUAGGGUCCUCACCUGGGGCGACUGCAUUUUAUGUAACUAAUUACAUCCACAAAGACCUCAUUUCCAAACAAAGUCACAUUCUUUUUUUUUUUUUUUUUUUCCAAUUGAGAUGGGGUCUCACUCUGUCACCCAGGCUGGAGUCCAGUGGUGCAAUCUCGGCUCACUGCAGCCUCCGCCCAUCCCCUGCCUCUCCCCCCCGGCCCCCGCCCAGGCUCAAAUGAGCCUCCUACCUCAGCCUCCUGAGCAGCUAGGACUACAGGCACAUGCUACCAUGCCUGGCUACUUUUUUUUUUUAUUUGAAAUGGAAUUUUCGCUCUUGUUGCCCAGGCUGGAGUGCAAUGGCACGAUCUUGGCUCACUGCAACCUCUGCCU